rnacentral:rRNA from 1 species
UACGUAGGGUGCAAGCGUUAAUCGGAAUUACUGGGCGUAAAGCGUGCGCAGGCGGUUUUGUAAGUCUGUCGUGAAAGCCCCGGGCUCAACCUGGGAACUGCAUCCGAUACUGGAUGGCUUGAAUUCGGGAGAGGGAUGCAGAAUUCCAGGUGUAGCGGUGAAAUGCGUAGAUAUCUGGAGGAAUACCGGUGGCGAAGGCGGCAUCCUGGACCGAUAUUGACACUCAGUGAGCGAAAGCCAGGGGAGCAAACGGG